UCCUCCCAUCUCAGCCUUUCCAGUAGCUGGGACUACAGAUGGGAACUCCAGCAUGGAGUGCCAGAAAAUGGACUACAAGACAUCGUCUAUACUCAGCAGCCAAGAUAGUGUUUCAUGAAGCCCACUUACCUGAACGGGGUGCAUCUAAUUGAAGCAUUUAGCCUUCGGGCAGCCCCAUGAAUAUGAAGAUACUUGGAAAGUCUUUACUACAGAGCAUGAUUUCAGGAAUGAUGAAACAAUAAACGAGAAUCUGGUAUUAAUAA